CCAUUUCCCAUCUCACUGGCCAACCCUGAGCAGAAACCUGGGCCUUUGAACCCAAGAUAUCGGGAAAUGUCAGGGAAUGGCAGCCAAGCCCCGCAAGGAUGCAGCGAGCAGCAGAGACAGCGAGGCUGCUGAGGGGUCUCUUGUCCCUGCUGAGCGAUGGGCACCAGGGCCCAGCCGGAUGGGGAAGGACACGAGGCAACUGGGAAAGAGCAUCCGGAAGUGACCUCUGAGCAGCCCCAGGCUUAGAGCUGCCUCCCCACACCUCAGGGGGAUAUUGAUGGACCCAGAU